ensembl:miRNA
AAAAGUUUGCUUGGGUUUCCCUGUAAGAUGUUAUAGGAAAAUCCGAGUGAACUUUUUGG